GCCCGGGUGGCGGAAUUGGUAGACGCACUGGUCUCAGAAGCCAGUUCCCUUUCGGGAGUGCGGGUUCGAGUCCCGCCUCGGGUA
rnacentral:tRNA from 1 species